UAAAAUUUAUAAAAUUAGGUAGUAAAGAAAAUUCCGAAACCUAAAGAAUUUGGCGGUAUUUUAAAUAAUUGGAGGAACCUGUUAUUUAAUUGACAACCCACAUCAGAUCUUUCCUAAAUUUUAUUUGUAUAUCGUCGUUAUGAUAAUAUUUAAAAAUUAUAAUCAAUGUUAAUAAAUUUCUAAAAAUCAGAUCAAGGUGCAGUAUAUUUAGGUUAUAAUGGGUUACAAUAUAAAUAUAUAUAUAUAUAUGGAUAUAGACUUGAAAUUAUAUUGAAAGUGGAUUCAAAAGUAAUAUUAAAUUAAAAUGUUAAUUUGAUUAAUAAUUUAAAAUAUGC
rnacentral:rRNA from 1 species